rnacentral:rRNA from 1 species
UACGUAGGGUGCGAGCGUUGCCCGGAUUUAUUGGGCGUAAAGGGCGCGCAGGCGGUUCGGCACGUCCGUUGUGAAAUCGCUCGGCUCAACUGGGCGGGGUCAGCGGAUACGGUCGAACUUGAGCAAGCUAGGGGGCAAUGGAAUUCCCGGUGUAGUGGUGGAAUGCGUAGAUAUCGGGAGGAACACCAGUGGCGAAGGCGGCGAUCUGGGAAGAUACUGACGCUGAGGUGCGAAAGCGUGGGGAGCAAACAGG